AUCUGUAAUUCAGUUGGUUAGAGCGCUGCACCGGAAUCGCAGCGGCGUAGAUUCGAUUCCUACUAGAGG